UUACUUGUGCAAAUCAACAAAAGUGUAACCAUGCGUCUGAACGCUGCGAUAGGUACAGGGACUGUAGUGAUGGAUCAGACGAACAAUGCACUGGCCGAAAGUGUGAGAACUAUGAGUUCACCUGUGCAAAUGGAAAGUGUCUUAGUAAAUGGAGGCGUUGUGGGUUCGGAGAUGACUGUGGUGAUAACUCAGAUGAACAGC